rnacentral:lncRNA from 1 species
AUGGUUUCCAGUAAUAAGGAAAACCUCUGUAACUGUCCCUGGAAUGUGUCACCUCCCAUCCCGCACCGUGGCUCCGCAGCUCGACCCAAAGAUCUGCUCCAUCCAAACCGACGCGUCACUCAGCUCCCAGAACACAAGACGACCAGUGACGCAUCCUUCUUCUUCUUCUGCUGCUGCUGCUGCUGCACAUUCAGGUGCAACAAACUUUUCCUGUCUCUUUUUAAACAAGUGAAGGAAAGUUUCUUCUCUUUCUUCUCUCCGUCUCCAAACCAUCAGCUGCGCGUCACAUCCAAAGUUACUCCAAAUGGGCAAACGAUGUCAAAGGUUUCCCUUCAGUGUGUGUGUGUGUGUGUGUGUGUGUGUGUCGCGUCCAGCCAGGUGAUCCUCACUCCGACAGGUACCUGUAGCUCCAGUCCUUGUGACUUUUCCCUCUCGGUCCAAAACACCGGUUGGAUGAGCGGUGCAGCGCGGAGCAAGAGUCCGGGACAGAGCGGAUAGAUCCACCGGCAGCGCAGCACCUUCCCUCGACUGUGUGUGUGUGUGUGGUAGAGUCUCUCUCUCUCUCUCUCUCUCUCUCUCUCUCUCCACCUGCGCGCCACAUUCCUGCGGUGGCCACGCCCCUCUCCUCCAAUCACAGCCCAGCAGCUCAGAGGCGACGCAGCGUUUCCUACAAAUGAAAAGUAAAAAUCUGCAUUUUGGGAAGUCGUUAAAAAGAGAAGUUUUGUUUAUAAUGAAUCUGCUCAUUCUGUAUCAAAUGAUCCCCGGAGACAGUAGAUUUAAAUCUCAUGACAAACCCCUGACUUAUACAUGUUUAAUCUCAUUAUCAAAAUUGGUAGAUUUCACUUUCAUCAUGAAGUCCUUCCCAAACUUUAACAGUCAAAUGAUAUAAUUUCACUCAUGCAUGGAGACAUGAGCCCCUGACCAGAAACAAAACAAAAAGUUGUUUUACUUUGAAGAGUUAUUUUCUAUGACCCUGGAUUAAGUAUGACCUGUUGUUGUAAUUUAUUAUAAUUAGAUUUUCCCUUUAUCUUAUUAUCCUAUUAUCAUCUCUCUGUUGCAGGUCAUCUGUCUUGUUUUUGUUAUUUUGGAUAUUUUUUUAUUAAUCCAUUACAAUCAGAACAAGAGGAAAAAAAUGAAGUAAAUAAAUGAUGAAUAAUAACGAAAAAAUUAAAAUAAGAAAAAGGCAAUAAUAACAAUAAAAAUAAUAAAUAUAAUAACACUAAUGAUAACAUUUAAAAAAAAUAGUUUAAAUAAAUAAAUAAGUAGAAACAUUGAUUGUCUGUCUUGUUGCGUAUUACUUGUAUUUUGGGCUUUGACAAUAGAGUUAAAAACCAAACAAAAAACUAAUCAUAGCAGCUGGAAGAAAAUCUAUAAAAGAAUACAACAUUAGAACAAUCGCUCAAAAAAACUAUGUUUCCAUAAUUUACAGGAACAAAAAACUGCACUGUCCAGAAAUGCGUAAAGACCCAGAGCGACGCAUUUCAGGUUACAGGUCCCGCCCACACAUGCACCCGACCAAUCACGAGUCAGUCUCAGCUGUCAAUCAUGACGUCUGAGCCCCGUUUUUAUAUCAUCAAAUAACUGAUGAAAAAACCAAACUGAUCAGAAACACGUGAACAGACAGCUGACGUCUACCUGUCCCGUCUGCUGACAUGGAGGGGGCGGGGCUUAGGACCUUUACUGCAGCCAGCCACCAGGGGGCGAUCGAGAUGUUUCGGCUUCACUUUGAGCUGAAAGCAUCUUUGAAAACAAUUAUUUAAAGGGGCAGUCAGCGAUUUUGGAGAAAGAUUGUUUGUUGUUGAUAUUUUUUUCGCCGCACACUAAACCAAAAUAUUUGCUGAAUGUUACAAAAAGUGUUUUCGAUUUAAAAUCGCUUAACUGCCCCUUUGACGUCCGCUUAGAUUUUUGGGUUCUUUUUUUUAUUUUGCUCGUUGGAUGAUUUCUCAUCAGUGUCUGGAGGUGAAAGGGAACAACUUCAUUUAAAUUUGUAAAGAAGUCACUCAAGCUCAGAGUUUAGUCAAUAUUCCUUUUUAAAAUAUUCCACUCUUUCUCCGGGACCAACAAUACUUUUCUUUAAAAAAGUGAAUCUUUCACUGUUAAACUGCAAAACACAAAAGUAUGUGUUAAAACAUCACCUGCUAAACAGGAAGUUUGCUUUAAAAAAACCUCAUUUCAGCCUUCAAAAUAAAAGCAAAACACGCGUAACAAACGACAGAAGGCGGAUAUAUUGAUUCACAAUCCUAACCUUAGCCCCUGAGGGUCUGAUCAGACAGGUUCAAUAUAAAAACACCUGUGCGUUAGCGCCACCAUGUGGUCACUUAUUACACUUUUUUAGAUGCAAUGACGCAUAUCUCAUGAACCGUGCGACAUAUCAAAACAAUAUUCUCACCAGGUAUUCUUUGGAUGAAGUCGGUUGGCCACGCCCAUUCCAUUUCACCGAGGCGUCUACAAUGUGCAACCGUGUCCCGUGGGCAUUUCCUUUGUCUCUCAAGUGAGCUUCACGUAUGAAGUGGAACCCCCCCACGUCCUAAGAGAGGGUUUUGUUUCACAGUCUUGUGAUGCAGGCGAGGCGGCGACGCGCAGGUCCUCUCCGGUUCCCUCCAUGAUGGAGCAGCCGCGCGACCUCUCCGUGACCUCAGAGCGCCGUCGCCACCGAGCGCGGCCCCCAGGCCCCGAGACUGUUCGUCUGAGCGCUGCUGCGGUUCCAACGCGCGACCUUGAACUCUCGACCGGGGCCGAGCAGACGCGACGCGGCGCCGGUUGGUCCACAUGGAGCGGCGUCAGUCAGGCCGUCGGCCUCUCAGUCUCCACCACCACGAGCCACUUGUUGGCCAUGUAGCCGGUGCGAAUGUGAUUCUGGAUCAGGCCACUUGUGAUGUGACCCUGCACUCAUUGCAGACGCCACGGGAAUAAGUCACAGUGCCCCUGUGGCCUCGCAGGGCCACAUGAGCCUGCGGCGUCGCGAAUCUACCGGAGAGCGGCCGACGGCAGCCGCGGUGUCUGCGUGCGUCCCAGAGCCGGUGGGCUCUUUCAUGCUCAACGACACAUCAUCAGUUCGACCGUCGGGGGAAAUACUUCGACAGAAAUAUGAGGAGAAAAAGAAUCAAACAAAGGAAACUCAAUUGUCAAAAAAAUAUCAUAUAAGUGAGUUCACUUGUCAUAUACGGAGGCUUGAGUCCUCUGGCAUCCUUUGCUUUGUGCCCCCCCACCUUCAUGCUGAAUACUGUCCUGUAGAUGAAGUAAAAUAUCUUUAAAAAAUCAUACGAAGGAAAACAACACAGAAGUCAAUGUCCGUUCGUACCGUUAUACUGCAAAGAUGGACGACAAGCCAAAUCACCUCCAUCGCCCCCUGGUGUCCGGCUGCAGUACAGGUCAUAUUAGGCCCCGCCCCCUCCAUGUUAGCAGGUGGGACAAGGACCAAACUGCAAAAAAAUUCAAUAAAUAAACGUAGAUGUUAAAUAAAUGUUUACCAAAGAUGGUUUCUGUCACGUGAGGUCGUUCCCAUCAAACAGAUGUUUGUUCAAGUUUCUGUUCACGUUCCCAUGUCGGAAGCACAAGUUCACGCGUUUCCUUUGAACGCAGCAUUAGACUUGUAGUUCUUCUUCUUCUUCUGCUCUCGGAGGAGGAAGAAGAAGGAGGAGUCUGCUUCCUUCUCAUUCGCGUCGUGAAGGAUUUUAUCAUCGUCAAAGUGAAAGAGGAUGAACAGGAGCAGUUGUACUUUUUUAUGACGUCACGUAUGUAGGUGGUGGACGAGGUGUUAUGAAUUCAUACAGCCGGAUCUGUGACGACACUGCUGGAGGUUCGUAGACUCUACAAAACAUAUUUCCAUUACAGGUGAGUGGCUACCCUGUACCUGUAUAUAAACAUAUAUAUAUAUAUAUAUAUAUAUAUAUAUAUAUAUAUAUAUAUAUAUAUAUAUAUAUAUAAACAUAUAUAUAUAUAUAAAUAUAUAUACAUGUAUAUAUACAGUAUACAUAACGAUUAGGUACGUGCUCUGAGGUCUCUGUGCUUGUC